rnacentral:rRNA from 1 species
UACAGAGGUCCCAAGCGUUGUUCGGAUUCACUGGGCGUAAAGGGUGCGUAGGCGGUCGGGUAAGUCUGAUGUGAAAUCUCACAGCUUAACUGUGAAACUGCAUUGGAUACUAUUCGGCUUGAGAGUUGGAGGGGGGACUGGAAUUCUUGGUGUAGCAGUGAAAUGCGUAGAUAUCAAGAGGAACACCGGUGGCGAAGGCGAGUCCCUGGACAACUUCUGACGCUGAGGCACGAAAGCUAGGGGAGCAAACAGG